CCUACGGGGGGCUGCAGUGGGGAAUAUUGGACAAUGGGGGGAACCCUGAUCCAGCCAUGCCGCGUGUGUGAAGAAGGCCCUCGGGUUGUAAAGCACUUUCAGUGAGGAAGAACGCCUGGUGGUUAAUACCCAUCAGGUAAGACAUCACUCACAGAAGAAGCACCGGCUAACUCCGUGCCAGCAGCCGCGGUAAUACGGAGGGUGCGAGCGUUAAUCGGAAUUACUGGGCGUAAAGCGCGCGUAGGUGGCUUGAUAAGCCGGUUGUGAAAGCCCCGGGCUCAACCUGGGAACGGCAUCCGGAACUGUCAAGCUAGAGUGCAGGAGAGGAAGGUAGAAUUCCCGGUGUAGCGGUGAAAUGCGUAGAGAUCGGGAGGAAUACCAGUGGCGAAGGCGGCCUUCUGGACUGACACUGACACUGAGGUGCGAAAGCGUGGGUAGCAAACAGGAUUAGAUACCCCAGUAGUC
rnacentral:rRNA from 1 species